rnacentral:rRNA from 1 species
UGAAGUAGACCGCCUGGGGAGUACGGUCGCAAGAUUAAAACCCAAAGGAAUUGACGGGGACCCGCACAAGCGGUGGAUGAUGUGGAUUAAUUCGAUGCAACGCGAAAAACCUUACCUACCCUUGACAUGGCAGAAAUCCUUGAGAGAUUGAGGAGUGCUCGAAAGAGAAUCUGCACACAGGUGCUGCAUGGCUGUCGUCAGCUCGUGUCGUGAGAUGUUGGGUUAAGUCCCGCAACGAGCGCAACCCUUGUCAUUAGUUGUUACGAAAGAGCACUCUAAUGAGACUGCCGGUGACAAACCGGAGGAAGGUGGGGAUGACGUCAAGUCCUCAUGGCCCUUAUGGGUAGGGCUUCACACGUCAUACAAUGGUACAUACAGAGGGCCGCCAACCCGCGAGGGGGAGCUAAUCCCAGAAAGUGUAUCGUAGUCCGGAUUGUAGUCUGCAACUCGACUGCAUGAAGUUGGAAUCGCUAGUAAUCGCGGAUCAGCAUGUCGCGGUGAAUACGUUCCCGGGUCUUGUACACACCGCCCGUCACACCAUGGGAGCGGGUUUUACCAGAAGUAGGUAGCUUAACCGUAAGGAGGGCGCUUACCACGGUAGGAUUCGUGACUGGGGAGAAGUCGUAACAAGGUAACCCG